CUGGUGUGGCCUGGGUAGGCGUGAACGGCGAUGCUGAAGCGCUGACCUGUUAUAGAUUCAUCUCCCGUCUUCCUCGCCCUCUUACGCGUCGGGGGGAUAGCAUUUCCAUACGAGGAACCACUUGGAUACCCUUUUUUUUAUAUAGACGAUGUGUGUUUGAAAUGUCGGUAGUCACAGAGUGAGUGUUCAGGAUGAGUUCAGUGGUUCCAGAACAAGGACUGUGAUAAAGGCUGUGUAAAUCUAGUAUUGGUUUCAUGAAGGGGAUAUAUAUGUGGUGAAAAUAAUUAUGAACUACGUAUUGUGGUCUCAGUGUGUUUGUUUCCAUGUAAGUGAAAGUAGCCGGCCGGGUUAUGAAGUGCAGGAUAUUCAGAGAAGGAAAGAAAUGUCACACGAACACUUUGAUACGGUGAAGUGAAGGGAAAGAAAACAAAAUAAUUGAAGGGAAUAAGUCAAAUACAUACAGUGUUGGUGUUAUAUGUGUUUCGAGACAGGAUAUUUCGUCAGUGAAAAG
rnacentral:lncRNA from 1 species